rnacentral:rRNA from 1 species
UACGUAGGGUGCAAGCGUAAUCGGAAUUACUGGGCGUAAAGCGUGCGCAGGCGGUUUUGUAAGUCUGUUGUGAAAUCCCCGGGCUCAACCUGGGAAUGGCAAUGGAGACUGCAAGGCUAGAGUUUGGCAGAGGGGGGUAGAAUUCCACGUGUAGCAGUGAAAUGCGUAGAUAUGUGGAGGAACACCGAUGGCGAAGGCAGCCCCCUGGGUCAAAACUGACGCUCAUGCACGAAAGCGUGGGGGAGCAAACAGG